CAAAAUCAAACUUUUACAUACUUUCCUAAGAGCUAAAUAUAGCAUUUAUUUCUUAUUAUGGCCCUUGAACCAAAAUUGCUUAAACAAAGAUCAUUCUUUAAAUGCUCUUCAUUUAUUUACCUGCCUCUAUGUUUGCAUUGAUAUAUUAUUUGUAUGUAAAUGUGCACGUGUGUGCUUAUGCAUCUGUGUCCACGCACAUGUCUGUGUGUGUGUGUUUGUAUCUUUGGCUCCCAGAAGUCCCAUCCAGAGUGGUUUGUUUUGAAUACCAAUGCCUGUUCUGGCGGAGACUUUUUCUUUCCUCUUAAAGGUGUCAAUAGAAGCUGUGAAAAGGUACAGAUCAGAGCAUAUAACAUCCCCUAAGGGACUUCUCCCGGCUCACACUUCAUGUGCCAGACUCCCUUGUUUCAGGAUAAAAUUAAAAGUAGACAUCACCAUCUAAAUUCAUCAGCAGAAUGCACCGGAACACCAGGAAGGGGAUACGGGAGGAAGUCUCAGGGGUUAGGCCUUGAAACAUCUCUUUCUCUGUCAUCCUUUCCCUCGUCCUCACUGUCCACCUGGUCCCGGCAUUGCUGUUCAUUGUUCAGAUGUAAAACUGAGUGACGUUUGUAAACGUUUGACCCUCUCUCUCUCACCCUCCAUUUCAUAGUUCCUUACGGUGAACAG
ensembl:lncRNA